rnacentral:ncRNA from 1 species
UCGAGGUCUUGGUCUUAAACCCAUUAUUACUUCUACCCCUAAUUAUACAUGCAAGCCUCAACAUGACAGUGAAACAGCCUACCACAAACCAAUUGGAGCAGGUAUCAGGUACUAAACCCAAGACACCAAGCAAGCCAUAAGCCACACCCCCACGGGCCAGCAGCAGUAGUUAAUAUUAGGCCAUAAGCGAAAGCUCGACCUAGCAAGGGGACCACAGGGCCGGUUAAUCCACGUGCCAGCGACCGCGGUUACACGACAGGCCCAAAAUAAUACCAACGGCGUAAAGCACGACUAAAUAACAACCCACCAUUAGGAAUGAAACCCAGCCGGGCUGUAAAAAGCCAUAAGCCACACUAACCACCACCUAAUAAGACAACUUCCACUCGUGAAAGCUAGGACACAAACUAAGAUUAGAUACCUUACUAUGCCUAACCAUAACACAACAAUCAAACUACCAAUUGUUCGCCAAAUAACUACGAGUAAAAACUUAAAAUUUAAAAGACUUGACGGUACCCCAUAACAACCUAGAGGAGCCUGUCUAAUAACCGAUACCCCACGAUUAACCCAACCCCCCCUAGCCUACAGUCUAUAUACCGCCGUCGCCAGCCUACCUUAUGAAAGAAACAAAGUGAGCUAAAUAGUCAUACACUAACACGACAGGUCGAGGUGUAACUUAUGGGUGGGCCUAAGAUGGGCUACAUUUUCUAACCCAGAAAACACGAAUAAACCAUGAAAUAAGGAAACUGAAGGCGGAUUUAGCAGUAUACUAAGAACAAAAUACUUAGUCGAAACCAACGCAAUGAGGUGCGUACACACCGCCCGUCAUCCCUGUCAAUCAACCAAAAACAUUCAUAAUUAAACACUAACCUAAAACAGGGCAAGUCGUAACAAGGUAAGCGUACUGGAAAGUGCGCUUAGAAA